rnacentral:lncRNA from 1 species
CAUUUACGCCCCCACGGGCGUACAGCUCCGCGUUCAAUACUUCGACAUCAAACGGCGCUGUAAACACAUUCGGCGGCGUUUGGAACGGCGCAGUUUCCAAUUUUCAAUUUCUGUCCGAUCCUCCUCCUGUAUUAUUAUUUCUUUUUCCCCCCACUCCAUCUGUCGAGGAGCGCUUCUUUCUGUUAUUGUUCUUUCUGUUAUUUCCCCUGUCCGUAUCAAUAACACGUGGCGCUUUUCCUGCAUCCCUCCCGAGCGCUGCUGGUAUCGAUAUACGGCGCAAUUUAUUUCCUCUGCUUCAGUUCGGGAAAAAGAAGAGAGGGGAAAAAAAACCAAACACACACACACAAAAAAACCAAUUCGGCGCACAUAAAUCAUCGCUUUUUUCCAUCUCCGCGCCCUGAAAUGUUUCUCGGCGCUGCUCCUCUCCGAAGGGCGACAACGUCGGCGGGGAAACCGAAAAUCAGCGCCUCAAAAACGAGGGGAAUGUCUCGAGGAAGAAAAGGAGCUGCAACCUCGAGAGGAAAUGAAGUCACCGCGUUAUAUAUCUCCUUGCACGGCAGCGGUGUAUACACGGAGAUAGAUAAGAUUAGAUGAUGGAUGGGAAAAGCGGAGCCCCUCCCGAAAGCGAUGGUUCUCAAUUACAGAGAGCGCAGAGCGACCGCGGAACGGGGGGUGACCCCAAAAACCGACCCCCUCCACCCCACCGGAGAGCUCCGUGCCCCCAAAGCGCCGCGUUACAGCGAUCCGAUCGUCCCAAUAAAGAGAGGAAAAGCAUUGGGAUGCAAAGUGUUGCUUGUUUAAUCGGCGCGCUUCGUGAUUACGAACGCUUUGCAAUUAAUUAACGCGCAGAGGAGCAGGCCGAGGCCGCCGGCCCGAGCCAUUGGGGAGGGGGGGGGCUGCGGGGAAGGAGGGGGGGCUAUGGGCGUGCAAGGCCGAGCCUCGUGCACGCAAUUAGCAGCGCGGCUCAUUAAAUAUGGCUCUAGCCCAGCCUUGGCCGACCCACCCGUGCUGCGCCGGGCCGCCCCCUCCGCGCAUGCGCUCCCCCCCUUAUUAUUAUUUCAUACAUAUAUAUAUAUUUUUAAGGAAAAGUUGUGCGGCUGCAUUUCCCCCCCUCCAUCCCCACGCAGAUUUCCCCCCCCCUUCCCUCCCGGCGCGCCCCUCAACCCCUACCCCCACC